GGCUCCUCAAGUGCCGCCAAAGUGGGAGCCCAGGCAGAGGAGGCGCCGAGAGCGAGCGAGGGCUGUGAGGACUGAGAGCACGCUGUCAUCUUUCAGAAGGAGGUCUUAUCUGAUGACUUUUAUUUUCUCCAUGAAGCCGCACAGAAACUCUCUCUGUACCACGUACCUGCUGCCAGAAGCUGGGAAGGAGUGGUGCUGGUGAUUCAAAACUGAUUUUCCUGCCUCUUCGAUGCCUCUUUUAGUGACAUACAGUUAAGACCAGGCACUCAAUGUGUGAAAGAGCCUCUUUCCCUACUGCUUCACCAAGUUUAAAACUUCAAAUUUUUUCAACUUGAUAGGUCAGAAGGAAACUACUUGCUCAAAAGGAGACCAGAGGAAUGAAAAUGUGGUAUAACCAGGAGUUGCGAAGUGGUCGUAGUUGUUCAUGUCUCAAUCUGGAUCAUCUUUGCUUUUUGCUUCUGCUUUGUGCUAUCCCUCUUCCCGUACCUCAGUUCUAUCUGGAACCAUGAUCUGUGACUGCCAUGGAAAAGUGUUGGGCAGGAGGAGGCCAGCUGGGUCUUUGAAGUUGACAAUGGAGCCAGGAAUGAAAGCUGCACUUAGGAUGAGAAUUGCUUUCCCUGGAGCCAAGUCAGCAAAUGCAGUCUGGUUGUCAGAGCUGAGAGGCUUCACCAAGUCAAGUAGGGGAGGACAUCUUCACUCUGCAACUUGCCCUACUGAAUGCAGAAAGUACUGUCUACUUAGAUAAAGCCUACACUAAAAGGGAAUUGAAUCUCUGCAAAUAAGUAUGUGGAUCUAAUUUCUACCUUCCAGAUUAAAAGUAUAAUUAAAAAUGAAAACCUUUGUAGGACUAAAUUGAUUUUGCAGACAAAUCUCACUUCUUAGCUUGAGCUGACUUAUUCCCAAUCUUAAACCCUAAUUAAUAACAUACAAGAAUGAGU
rnacentral:lncRNA from 1 species